rnacentral:rRNA from 1 species
GCCUACGACCAUAUCACCCUGAAUGCGCCCGAUCUCGUCUGAUCUCGGAAGCUAAGCACCGUCGAGUCUGGUUGGUACUUGGAUGGGAGACUGCCUGGGAAUACCAGGUGUUGUAGGCU